rnacentral:tRNA from 1 species
GGGGGUAUAGCUCAGUGGCAGAGCAAUCGACUGCAGAUCGAUAGGUCCC